rnacentral:rRNA from 1 species
GACGAACGCUGGCGGCGUGCUUAACACAUGCAAGUCGAACGGUAAGGCCCUUCGGGGUACACGAGUGGCGAACGGGUGAGAACACGUGGGUGAUCUGCCCUGCACUUCGGGAUAAGCCCGGGAAACUGGGUCUAAUACCGGAUAGGACCCUGGGCUGCAUGUCCUGGGGUGGAAAGCUUUUGCGGUGUGGGAUGGGCCCGCGGCCUAUCAGCUUGUUGGUGGGGUGAUGGCCUACCAAGGCGACGACGGGUAGCCGGCCUGAGAGGGUGACCGGCCACACUGGGACUGAGAUACGGCCCAGACUCCUACGGGAGGCAGCAGUGGGGAAUAUUGCACAAUGGGCGCAAGCCUGAUGCAGCGACGCCGCGUGAGGGAUGACGGCCUUCGGGUUGUAAACCUCUUUCAGCACCGACGAAGCGCAAGUGACGGUAGGUGCAGAAGAAGGACCGGCCAACUACGUGCCAGCCGCCGCCGUAA